UGGCUUACCUCCUCAGUUAUGCGUCAUGACUUGUAUCGUCUUGAGCGUAUUGUGGGUUUCCUGUGUUGCAUACCUUUCUAAUGGUAUCGUGUUGAUUGAUCGAAGUCCCUUUUCAUCKUGUGUUGCUUUUUGCGACGCAUGAUGAACCUCGAGGCGGUCUCUAUGUUCCACCACGUUGAUGCUAGCGUUUUAAUGUUGUGGCCCAUUGAGUGUUGCUUGGUUUCGUGGAUACAGAACAUGAUUUGGGCAUAGGGUUACUUGUGACUCUUGUUUUGUCCUUUAUCUGUGUUCUUUAUAACGACGGUUCAUGCGCGCCUAGGCUCGUACCUGCGCGAUGUUCUUUGUCGAAGAGGAAUGCUACCUGGUUGAUCCUGCCAGUAGUCAUAUGCUUGUCUCAAAGAUUAAGCCA
rnacentral:misc_RNA from 1 species